CACGUAGGCGGAUUGGAAAGUUGGAGGUGAAAUCCCAGGGCUCAACCUUGGAACUGCCUUCAAAACUCCCAGUCUUGAGGUCGAGAGAGGUAAGUGGAAUUCCGAGUGUAGAGGUGAAAUUCGUAGAUAUUCGGAGGAACACCAGUGGCGAAGGCGGCUUACUGGCUCGAUACUGACGCUGAGGUGCGAAAGCGUGGGGAGCAAAACG
rnacentral:rRNA from 1 species